rnacentral:lncRNA from 1 species
UGGUCCAGCAUCAUCCCCUCGCGGGCCGCCCUCACCUUGGCCAAGGAGCGGUACACACGACUCCAGCUCUGCAUCGUCCCUCGGUCCCGUCCCUCCAACCAGGGGUUUUCACCUCCGCUGAACGCCUGGUAAGACUUAUCCAAGGUCUCCCCACCCUGCGCCUGCGCAACAUAUACGUCAUCGCCGAGGAGCAGCGCGAUUGGCCCGAAAGGCAGAGGCUUUCCGGUCGCUUCGUCGUGCGCUGUCGUGAAGGGCGCUGCGCUUUGUGGCAGCUGGGGAAUUGGAGAACUGUUGCUCAAAUGACUGGAGUAGAGUUGCAAAUUAUCCUUGAAAGACGAACUAGAUAAAUAAAAAUGUUGUUUCUUCAGUAAAGCCCACAGAAAGUAAAGUUUAAAUAGGAAAGGAAGAAAAGUUUGACAACUUGACAAGCUUAUGGUUGUGCUAGAUAUUCGUGGGCAGUAGGCUUUAUCUAGCUUUACAAAAACCGUAUGAACUGUUUGCAUUUUCUGGAUGGAGCCCUGAGAGGUUAAAGAAAGCAAAGGAGAGGAUGAAUUCUUGAAGUACCUAAAUCAGAGUGUUGAGUGUUUGAACUAUAUUAACAUCUAUGAAAUCGGAGAAGAGACUGUGCGACCAUUCGACCAUUCGACCACGCAAGGUAAAGGUGAGCUGCACCAUCAAGUUUACAAGGCACCAAAAGUCUUCUGGUGGUGUUCUGCAGUUUGUUGCAGCUUCCAAGGACUUGGGCUGAUUGGAUGCCUUGCCGAGGCAAGACCGUGUGAUGUUUGGAUGAUAUAAAUAGGAUUCCACAGAGUGAUGGUACAGGUUGUACCACCUCUGCUGAUUUGUGCUCACUAUCCCGACUCUACUGAACUGGACUGCUGGUGUAUCCAUGAAGUGUUUUCGAGUGGAUCAAGCUGUGGCUGCCUGCUAACCUAUGAACUGAACUGCCGAUUUCCAAACAACACAGACAGGAGUUGCUCUAAAGAACCUUUCAAAAAAGGUCUA